AACAGAUUCCAAGAAAGAGCAAAUGCGGCAUAUCAACUAGGGGAGAGUCAACCAAUGAUGGAGUUAGAACACCAACGAAAUCAAACAAGGGUUAACGUGGACUCAAGGAUGAUCGAAACCUUGUAGAAUAGUUUGCAAAACGGAUUUGGAAAAAAAGGAAACAAGGCGGCAAACUCGGAAGGAAGCGAAAUAGGAGGAAAAAUAGGCAGCGGGUAUAACAUAGCCACUUGCUCCGUGAUCCACG
rnacentral:lncRNA from 1 species